CCUCUUUGUGAUGUUCAAAGAGACACUUUGUUGGCAGUCUCGUUCUUCUAUCAGUCAGGGCAGAACAAAUGGUAGUCCUUUGUUCAUCCUAGCUUGAUGCCUGGCUUAAUAGACAAAACUCUCUUAUGCCUAGGACUCAUAA